rnacentral:lncRNA from 1 species
UGAGUUACACGUUCACCACCAAGAAGAUGUUGCACCGCUUUGAAUGCUUCAUUAUGUUUCAACUUUGCGCCGCGACUUCGAAAUCGGAGCGGAGACGAGAUGAAGAAACAAGGAUCCGACGUUCAAUCCAUUUCAGAAAUCGACAUCUAGAUCAGUUUAUCAUUGUGUGCGCGCGUAAAAAAGAAAGAAAACGAAGUGAAGUAAUCAACGCAGCGAGCCGUAGAUUGUGACCAAAUCGAAUCGAAGAACAAUAUGGAAUCGCGGCACGACGAGUCACGGAUCAUGUUGGAUUCAACAUCGCAUUUUGGAGCUUCAAGGAUUCCAUCUCAGAACUUCAACCUUCUCCGCAUUGCAUUCGCAUCUCCUCCCCCAAGCGUGAAAUCAGAAUGAAAACAAGAUGAAGAACAACGGCUUCAAAUCACGCAAAUCUCCGAAAUCAAUAUUCCUAAAUUCAACUCGUCACUGUGCAUGCGCGACGUCAAAAAGAAACAAAAUCAAAAAUGAGAUGAGGAAACUCUGUUAGAAAUAAAAUGUAUUGCCAUGUUAUAAGUCCUACUACUAUUGUUAGGUUAGUUGCUUAUUGUAAUGGUAUGUUAUCCUUGAAUGUUAAUUUGAAAUUGACUUGAAUGCUAAUUGGAAAUUAAUUUUGGUUUAUUU